rnacentral:rRNA from 1 species
AACGAACGCUGGCGGCAUGCCUAACACAUGCAAGUCGAACGAGACCUUCGGGUCUGGUGGCGCACGGGUGCGUAAAGCGUGGGAACCUGCCCUUAGGCUCGGAAUAACUCCCCGAAAGGGGUGCUAAUACCGGAUAAUGUCCUCGGACCAAAGAUAUAUCGUCUUUGGAUGGGCCCGCGUUGGUUUAGCUAGUUGGUAGGGUAAAAGCCUACCAAGGCGACGAUCCAUAGCUGGUCUGAGAGGAUGCGCAGCCACACUGGGACUGAGACACGGCCCAGACUCCUACGGGAGGCAGCAGUGGGGAAUAUUGGACAACGGGCGAAAGCCUGAACCGGCAAUGCCGCGUGAGUGAUGAAGGCCUUAGGGUUGUAAAGCUCUUUUACCCGGGAUGAUAAUGACAGUACCGGGAGAAUAAGCACCGGCUAACUCCGUG